CCACGUAUCAACUCAAAGGACGCAGCCAUUUGACGCUUAACUUUUGAGAACGUUAAGUGAUUUGAAAGAUCGAAUGUUCAAAGUUUUGAGCCAUCAACUAGUAAAAGAUAAAUCAAACGAAGUUACAUUUCCAAACACGAAAAAUAUGCUUACCAAAAACAAAUCACUGCCAUCUUAAACAAGAAACCACAACUGGUGAGGAUUUUAUUACCAAAGAUGUUGUAAUUUCUCCUGGUGUUGAAAAUACAAAACAAUGUAUGCCUUUCAAUUCUAAUUUUUUAUAUAUAUUGCGUACCCUAAGCAUAUUUGUUUUGAAUUGUAUCACAAUUCAAGGCAUUUGAUUGGUAUUUAUGUGUUUUUAUGAAGAUUUGUAUUAUUUAAUAAUAUGCAUGAUAUACGUAUACAGUGUUGCACUUUCGGACUCCAAACGCUCGUUUAUUACGUAUGUUCAAUACUGUAGCAAUGACUUAAAUUUUUCUUUUUUUUGAUAACGGCAAAUAAUUUAAGUGUACUGUGUACCAGUUGGCAGUGCUCAGCACAACUUGACAAGUAUUUGUUCAUCUCAAUAAAUGCGGCGUAGCAGCAAA